UACAGAGGUCUCAAGCGUUGUUCGGAUUCAUUGGGCGUAAAGGGCGCGUAGGCGGCGGGGUAAGUCGGGUGUGAAAUCUCAGGGCUCAACCCUGAAACUGCACUCGAUACUGCUCUGCUUGAGGACUGGAGAGGAGACUGGAAUUCACGGUGUAGCAGUGAAAUGCGUAGAUAUCGUGAGGAAGAUCAGUGGCGAAGGCGGGUCUCUGGACAGUUCCUGACGCUGAGGCGCGAAGGCCAGGGGAGCAAACGGG
rnacentral:rRNA from 1 species